ACAGAGCACGCAGCGAGUAUGCAGGGGGGUCUCCUUCAUAAUUGAAUGAUUCUCUUGAAGUCUCUAUACUCACUUUAUAAAUGACCUAGCAAAUUAAGGUUUUGCGCUGUAGUUAAUGAAAAUUUUGUAUUUAUUUGGCAUGGCGCUUGAACUAAUAAUUACAAGGAGAUUGAAAAUCUGACUUAUUUAAUUAUGUUUGUUGGGAUACAGGGCGGACAGUUGGCUGCUAUAAAUCUUGUAUCUCGUGCGGCCUUGCUUGCUGCAAAGAAGGACUCUGAAGAAGAAUGGUUUUUCCGGGUUCUGCUCUUGUUGGGUUCCUUUGCCUGACGUAGAGUUGAAGUGUAUUGCUUGGUGGGUGUUUGUUUACCCACGAUUUGAGGUUGAGCUUGGAUUUACAAAUUACAAAAUAGGUGGAUUUGAGGUUGAGCUCCGAUUUGCCUAGGCGUUGACUCCCACUUAGCCGACACUAACGCCGCCUCCGACGAGCAAGGUCCUCCGCUGCCCACGAGCAACGUCCGUCACCUCCCACGAGCGAGGUAUAUUUUAGAUCGUGAUGUCUUUUUUCCUCAUGUAUAUUUUCAUUCACGACAUUUAGUUGACAUGAGUGUGCUUGUCAAAGGGCUUCUCAGUAGUACAGGUUGGGAUGAGCUUGUUUAUGUUUGGCAACAUGGGACUGAUCCUAGAGCUCCUUCAAUUAGUAUAAAAAUUUCAUUUUUUGGGGUCCCCUCAUUGAGCUGUGUCAACUUGGGAUCAGGAUUCUGAAUGGCCAAAUUUGAAAGUGUAAUUGUCGUUCUGCGGUUUAUCUUGGUAAAUGACUCGCAAAUAAUUAGACUGUAAGUUAGAUUCAAUAAAGCAGGGAAAAUUUCUAUUUGCAUUAUCAGAAUGGUGAGUUUGCACUUGUUAUGUUCACCUUGUAUGGUAUAGCAUUAGUGAUGGUUCUCCUGUGUUUGUUUAUUGCUGUGAUUGUUUAAACUGAGCUUUCUAGUCUUAUUAUAAGGAUCUAGUUGCUGUUUCUGUUGCUGUAGUGAAAUUUGUGUCUCGAUUAUGAAUUUUCCGUGUUGCUCGGUUUGAUCAGGGAAAGACCAUGUAGUUGCCUCUUCUUUGUCAUGCAAGGAUGAGGUUGACUUUCAAUAUUAUAGUUCCUUUGUUUGGUUA